rnacentral:rRNA from 1 species
GGSGGGCUAUACAUGCAGUCGAGCGGACAGAAGGGAGCUUGCUCCCGGAUGUUAGCGGCGGACGGGUGAGUAACACGUGGGUAACCUGCCUGUAAGACUGGGAUAACUCCGGGAAACCGGAGCUAAUACCGGAUAGUUCCUUGAACCGCAUGGUUCAAGGAUGAAAGACGGUUUCGGCUGUCACUUACAGAUGGACCCGCGGCGCAUUAGCUAGUUGGUGGGGUAAUGGCUCACCAAGGCGACGAUGCGUAGCCGACCUGAGAGGGUGAUCGGCCACACUGGGACUGAGACACGGCCCAGACUCCUACGGGAGGCAGCAGUAGGGAAUCUUCCGCAAUGGACGAAAGUCUGACGGAGCAACGCCGCGUGAGUGAUGAAGGUUUUCGGAUCGUAAAGCUCUGUUGUUAGGGAAGAACAAGUGCGAGAGUAACUGCUCGCACCUUGACGGUACCUAACCAGAAAGCCACGGCUAACUACGUGCCAGCAGCCGCGGUAAUACGUAGGUGGCAAGCGUUGUCCGGAAUUAUUGGGCGUAAAGGGCUCGCAGGCGGUUUCUUAAGUCUGAUGUGAAAGCCCCCGGCUCAACCGGGGAGGGUCAUUGGAAACUGGGAAACUUGAGUGCAGAAGAGGAGAGUGGAAUUCCACGUGUAGCGGUGAAAUGCGUAGAGAUGUGGAGGAACACCAGUGGCGAAGGCGACUCUCUGGUCUGUAACUGACGCUGAGGAGCGAAAGCGUGGGGAGCGAACAGGAUUAGAUACCCUGGUAGUCCACGCCGUAAACGAUGAGUGCUAAGUGUUAGGGGGUUUCCGCCCCUUAGUGCUGCAGCUAACGCAUUAAGCACUCCGCCUGGGGAGUACGGUCGCAAGACUGAAACUCAAAGGAAUUGACGGGGGCCCGCACMAGCGGUGGAGCAUGUGGUUUAAUUCGAAGCAACGCGAAGMACCUUACCAGGUCUUGACAUCCUCUGACAACCCUAGAGAUAGGGCUUUCCCUUCGGGGACAGAGUGACAGGUGGUGCAUGGUUGUCGUCAGCUCGYGUCGUGAGAUGYUGGGUUAAGUCCCGCAACGAGCGCAACCCUUGAUCUUAGUUGCCAGCAUUCAGUUGGGCACUCUAAGGUGACUGCCGGUGACAAACCGGAGGAAGGUGGGGAUGACGUCAAAUCAUCAUGCCCCUUAUGWCCUGGGCUACACACGUGCUACAAUGGACAGAACAAAGGGCUGCAAGACCGCAAGGUUUAGCCAAUCCCAYAAAUCUGUUCUCAGUUCGGAUCGCAGUCUGCAACUCGAC